rnacentral:rRNA from 1 species
UACGUAGGGUGCAAGCGUUGUCCGGAUUUAUUGGGUUUAAAGGGUGCGCAGGCUGUUUGUUAAGUUAGUAGUGAAAGCGUCCGGCUUAACCGGAUACCCGCUAUUGAUACUGGCAAACUUGAGUCCGUCUGAGGAGAUUAGAAUGCGUGGUGUAGCGGUGAAAUGCAUAGAUAUCACGCAGAAUACCGAUUGCGAAGGCAGAUCUCUAAGGCGGAACUGACGCUGAGGCACGAAAGCGUGGGUAGCGAACAGG